rnacentral:rRNA from 1 species
UACAGAGGGGGCAAGCGUUGUUCGGAAUUACUGGGCGUAAAGGGCGCGUAGGCGGCCUUCUAAGUCGAACGUGAAAUCCCCGGGCUCAACCCGGGAACUGCGUCCGAUACUGGAAGGCUUGAAUCCGGGAGAGGGAUGCGGAAUUCCAGGUGUAGCGGUGAAAUGCGUAGAUAUCUGGAGGAACACCGGUGGCGAAGGCGGCAUCCUGGACCGGCAUUGACGCUGAGGCGCGAAAGCCAGGGGAGUAAACGGG